rnacentral:rRNA from 1 species
AGCGAACGCUGGCGGCAGGCCUAACACAUGCAAGUCGAGCGCCGUAGCAAUACGGAGCGGCAGACGGGAGAGUAACACGUGGGAACGUACCCUUUGGUUCGGAACAACCCAGGGAAACUUGGGCUAAUACCGGAUAAGCCCUUACGGGGAAAGAUUUAUCGCCGAAGGAUCGGCCCGCGUCUGAUUAGCUAGUUGGUGGGGUAAUGGCCCACCAAGGCGACGAUCAGUAGCUGGUCUGAGAGGAUGAUCAGCCUCACUGGGACUGAGACACGGCCCAGACUCCUACGGGAGGCAGCAGUGGGGAAUCUUAGACAAUGGGGGCAACCCUGAUCUAGCCAUGCCGCGUGAGUGAUGAAGGCCUUAGGGUUGUAAAGCUCUUUCAGCUGGGAAGAUAAUGACGGUACCAGCAGAAGAAGCCCCGGCUAACUCCGUGCCAGCAGCCGCGGUAAAAC